GCGUGCUUAACACAUGCAAGUCGAACGGGAAAUAUUUCAUUGAGACUUCGGUGGAUUUGAUCUAUUUCUAGUGGCGGACGGGUGAGUAACGCGUGGGUAACCUGCCUUAUACAGGGGGAUAACAGUCCGAAAUGGCUGCUAAUACCGCAUAAGCGCACAGAGCUGCAUGGCUCAGUGUGAAAAACUCCGGUGGUAUAAGAUGGACCCGCGUUGGAUUAGCUGGUUGGUGGGGUAACGGCCCACCAAGGCGACGAUCCAUAGCCGGCCUGAGAGGGUGAACGGCCACAUUGGGACUGAGACACGGCCCAGACUCCUACGGGAGGCAGCAGUGGGGAAUAUUGCACAAUGGGGGAAACCCUGAUGCAGCGACGCCGCGUGAAGGAAGAAGUAUCUCGGUAUGUAAACUUCUAUCAGCAGGGAAGAUAGUGACGGUACCUGACUAAGAAGCCCCGGCUAACUACGUGCCAGCAGCCGCGGUAAUACGUAGGGGGCAAGCGUUAUCCGGAUUUACUGGGUGUAAAGGGAGCGUAGACGGUGUGGCAAGUCUGAUGUGAAAGGCAUGGGCUCAACCUGUGGACUGCAUUGGAAACUGUCAUACUUGAGUGCCGGAGGGGUAAGCGGAAUUCCUAGUGUAGCGGUGAAAUGCGUAGAUAUUAGGAGGAACACCAGUGGCGAAGGCGGCUUACUGGACGGUAACUGACGUUGAGGCUCGAAAGCGUGGGGAGCAAA
rnacentral:rRNA from 1 species